CCUAUCGUUCAGACAUACCUUUUCCUUCUAUGCCAAUCUCUGUGUUCUCCGGAUCUCUUCUGCGUAGUUUAUCUUCUUCAAAUUCCAUGUUAAGAUCUGUGUAGAUCGUUCUUCGAUCUACCUUUUGAAUAUGGAUUUGCUGUAUUUCCAUAACAGCUUGGCGAUUGACCAACGGAGCAGUGUAACUGUCGAUUUCCGUCGACUGUGGCCGUCGGUUGACGAGGAGCUGGUAGACUGAUGCUUUUCGCAGUGGUUCGAGGGAGAUGAGCAUCAGGUCUGUUUGAUUUUCAGAGAUUUGUGGAGGUUGGAGCAGUAGAUUUGAGCAACCGAGGUGUUAUUUUACCGAGGAUUCAACCGUUGGUUGCUAGAGCUUUAUCGAUCUGAAUAGAGAUGCAAGGACUAUUGAAUCGCUGCUGUCGUUAUUUUGAAUCAAACGGUUUGGACCGGUAAUCAUCGAUCGAGGACUGAAAUCAGCUAGCGUGUUGGUGUAUCUAAGGGUAUAAUAGUUUAAUUUAAUGUCUAUAAUUAUUUGAAUGGCUAUGUGCAUUAGUUUUUUAUUUUAUGCAUGCAUAUGUACGAGAGGAUGAAAGAUUGAGUGACGUUUGUGUGAGAUGUGAGAGGGAAAAGUGAGAUAUUUAUUGUUCAUGUUACCAGGCCUUUGCCAUGUUGGGUGCGCUCGCAUGGCAGGUCAAAAGUACGAAAUAAAAGUAUUUAUUUUGGGUGUUGGGAGAUGAGAAGGCACGGGGGUUUGCCCGGCUCUCAUCUCUUUGCGUGUCUUGUGUCUUUUUUCCCUGCUCUUCUCUCUCCUGCGUCCAACAACUUUGCGUCGAUCAGUGGUUACUUGUCAUUGAAUAGGCCUUGUGACUACUGUUGUGUAUCUUGAGGCGAGGCCUAUUCAAUGACAACUCAUGUUGAUUUGCGAUAUGCUCAACACGGCGAUGGAUACAAGCAACGUUUCUACUGCAGCACACCACUAGAGGUACAAUAUCAAUUCUCUUAGUUAAAGUUUCACAUUCUUCAUAACAUUCAUCAAUUCUAAACUAAGUACAUUAACUUAUUUAAUAGCUUCUAAACAGCAAUUCUGGAAAUAUUUUUAAAAAUCUGAAAUGCUCACAAGUUGGACUUUUAUGUAGAGCAACUAUACCUCUAUGGAAGUUACUUUAGAAUGUAUUUUGGGCACUGUUAAUUGGCUUGCAAACUUGCACAUUUUGUUUUUCCGGGUAACUCAUAAUGAUCCCAUGAAGUGGUUUUAAAAAAAAUGCUGCAAAAUAGGACCCCAAUUGCUGAUAUUCCAUAAAAUUGGUAAUUAGACCUUUAUUUGUUAUGGUGAGCUUAUCUUCUAAUAAAAUCUGCAGAUGUGACCAACUAUUAGUCGCGAUUGGGCAUGGGGCAUAAAAUUAGAAUUGGUAUUGCAGAGUUGUAUCUAAACUGUAACCUUCUCUAACAAGGUUCGGUUUCAUAGCUUAAACUUAAAGUUACCCAGAUAUUUGCAAGACUAUCAUUGGUAGUGAUAUUGGAGUAGUAAUUGGUUUAUUUAACUAUAUUGUGGAUAAAAAUAGCAUAAUUUAACAACCUGUCUUCUUACGAAAAAGUUGCGGAAAAUCAUUGUGUUGGCUGUACAAAAGCUCACGAAACUUGAAUCUUCCAUUUUCAUUAAUUCUGCUCAUUCAGCUUAAUUCGUGAUUCUCUUUUUAUAUAUACGCACUCUUUGUUUACUGAAUAAAUAUUAUUGAGUUAUUUAGUGUUUAUGAGUUUAUUGUUUUUCAGUAAGUCGUUCUCUCUUUGAUAAGAGUCUAGUCGUAGCUUAGCUGUGUUCUCCUGAUUUAUGAUGUAAUAGUUUAAUUCCAAUGGAAGUCCUUUUGUUAUGGUACCCCUAUUGUAGUCUUUUGGGAGGGGUACCUUGUGUGGGCAGGUUUGGAGUUUUGACCUUAAAAACAAUUCAGUGUGUUUCGGUUAGAUUUGAUGUGUAUCAAAUGAUGACGGGCGGCUGUGCCUUUUAAUAAGCUGGAGGCGCAUUGGUGCUGGCUAAAGGAAUUUUUGGUGCUGCACUUGACUUAGAUGCUCUUUCUAGUUGAUGUGAAGCUUCGUUUACUUUGUGUUCAUCAAGAAAUGUUGGAGCUGCUGCUGCUGUUGAAGAUUUGGUAGCUUUUGUUUGCUGUGCUCUUUCUGCACGAUGUAAUAUUCUCCAGGAUGUUACUUUGGUGAGGGCUUUGUGAGACUCAAGCUUGUUGCUGGUUUGAAUCCAUGGUUUUCAUUAUGUAUUGAAGCUGUGCUUUUGUGUAAUCAGCAAGUAUCAACAGUGUCUGGUUUUACAAGCAGUUUCAUCCAGGGUGAGGUGUUGACGGAUGAUGUCAGUCUGUAUUCCCAAGGAAUUUCAAGAAGCAUGUUUUCCUCCAUGCCUUUACUAAUUUCUGAAUGGAAAAAUGAAGCUAGCUCGUUUGAUGAGUUGGUGUGGCAUUUCUUUUUGCAACUAUUUUCUCAGGAAAACCUUGUAGCAAGCAACUGAUAUCUAGUCUCCAACUGUGUUGUGCUUGUGCUUUUUCUGGCAUUCUGAGGGCAUGAUUUUUUUCCUCUGCCUGCAUACUGGAGCGUUUCUCAUGUUUGUAAGAAUGUAGACAAUUAACAGCCUAUACACUGGCUGUCCGCUGUUGUGAAUCUGCCGGUUUGACAGUGCUCAGUGAGAAGAUUGUCUCUUCAUUUUAGAGAUACUGUUUGGGAGAACCGUUAGUAAUCCCCUUCGAUAAUUUGGUUUCAGAUUCGCUUUGUAUUUAUUUUAGUAGAAAAGAACCUGCAUGCAGGAUACACUGUUGCAAUGGAAGUAUUUCUUAAGAGAAGAGUAGCUUUGGGUUUGGUGGUCGUCUUGGCAGUACAUAUUCAAUCUUAUUAAGAAGUUAUUUUACUCUAGAAUAUUUUAGAUUGUUAUCUUUGAUUCAGUAUACAACAACCUGUUAUUGUUGGGGUACUAAAUUCUGACUA